UCCUACGGGAGGCAGCAGUGGGGAAUAUUGGACAAUGGGGGGAACCCUGAUCCAGCCAUGCCGCGUGUGUGAAGAAGGCCUUUUGGUUGUAAAGCACUUUAAGCGAGGAGGAGGCUACCUAGAUUAAUACUUUAGGAUAGUGGACGUUACUCGCAGAAUAAGCACCGGCUAACUCUGUGCCAGCAGCCGCGGUAAUACAGAGGGUGCGAGCGUUAAUCGGAUUUACUGGGCGUAAAGCGUGCGUAGGCGGCCAAUUAAGUCAAAUGUGAAAUCCCCGAGCUUAACUUGGGAAUUGCAUUCGAUACUGGUUGGCUAGAGUAUGGGAGAGGAUGGUAGAAUUCCAGGUGUAGCGGUGAAAUGCGUAGAGAUCUGGAGGAAUACCGAUGGCGAAGGCAGCCAUCUGGCCUAAUACUGACGCUGAGGUACGAAAGCAUGGGGAGCAAACAGGAUUAGAUACCCUGGUAGUCCAUGCCGUAAACGAUGUCUACUAGCCGUUGGGGCCCUUGAGGCUUUAGUGGCGCAGCUAACGCGAUAAGUAGACCGCCUGGGGAGUACGGUCGCAAGACUAAAACUCAAAUGAAUUGACGGGGGCCCGCACAAGCGGUGGAGCAUGUGGUUUAAUUCGAUGCAACGCGAAGAACCUUACCUGGCCUUGACAUACAGAGAACUUUCCAGAGAUGGAUUGGUGCCUUCGGGAACUCUGAUACAGGUGCUGCGUGGCUGUCGUCAGCUCGUGUCGUGAGAUGUUGGGUUAAGUCCCGCAACGAGCGCAACCCUUUUCCUUAUUUGCCAGCACUUUGGGUGGGAACUUUAAGGAUACUGCCAGUGACAAACUGGAGGAAGGCGGGGACGACGUCAAGUCAUCAUGGCCCUUACGGCCAGGGCUACACACGUGCUACAAUGGUCGGUACAAAGGGUUGCUAC
rnacentral:rRNA from 1 species